AGACCCGAAACCCGGUGAUCUAGCCAUGGGCAGGUUGAAGGUUGGGUAACACUAACUGGAGGACCGAACCGACUAAUGUUGAAAAAUUAGCGGAUGACCUGUGGCUGGGGGUGAAAGGCCAAUCAAACCGGGAGAUAGCUGGUUCUCCCCGAAAGCUAUUUAGGUAGCGCCUCGUGAAUUCAUCUCCGGGGGUAGAGCACUGUUUCGGCUAGGGGGCCAUCCCGGCUUACCAACCCGAUGCAAACUGCGAAUACCGGAGAAUGUUAUCACGGGAGACACACGGCGGGUGCUAACGUCCGUCGUGAAGAGGGAAACAACCCAGACCGCCAGCUAAGGUCCCAAAGUCAUGGUUAAGUGGGAAACGAUGUGGGAAGGCCCAGACAGCCAGGAUGUUGGCUUAGAAGCAGCCAUCAUUUAAAGAAAGCGUAAUAGCUCACUGGUCGAGUCGGCCUGCGCGGAAGAUGUAACGGGGCUAAACCAUGCACCGAAGCUGCGGCAGCGACGCUGAUGCGUUGUUGGGUAGGGGAGCGUUCUGUAAGCCUGUGAAGGUGGCCUGUGAGGGUUGCUGGAGGUAUCAGAAGUGCGAAUGCUGACAUAAGUAACGAUAAAGCGGGUGAAAAGCCCGCUCGCCGGAAGACCAAGGGUUCCUGUCCAACGUUAAUCGGGGCAGGGUGAGUCGACCCCUAAGGCGAGGCCGAAAGGCGUAGUCGAUGGGAAACGGGUUAAUAUUCCCGUACUUGGUGUUACUGCGAAGGGGGGACGGAGAAGGCUAUGUUGGCCGGGCGACGGUUGUCCCGGUUUAAGCGUGUAGGUGUGUGUUCCAGGUAAAUCCGGUUCACUUUAACACUGAGGCGUGAUGACGAGGCACUACGGUGCUGAAGCAACAAAUGCCCUGCUUCCAGGAAAAGCCUCUAAGCAUCAGGUAACAUCAAAUCGUACCCCAAACCGACACAGGUGGUCAGGUAGAGAAUACCAAGGCGCUUGAGAGAACUCGGGUGAAGGAACUAGGCAAAAUGGUGCCGUAACUUCGGGAGAAGGCACGCUGACAUGUAGGUGAAGUGAUUUACUCAUGGAGCUGAAGUCAGUCGAAGAUACCAGCUGGCUGCAACUGUUUAUUAAAAACACAGCACUGUGCAAACACGAAAGUGGACGUAUACGGUGUGACGCCUGCCCGGUGCCGGAAGGUUAAUUGAUGGGGUCAGCGCAAGCGAAGCUCCUGAUCGAAGCCCCGGUAAACGGCGGCCGUAACUAUAACGGUCCUAAGGUAGCGAAAUUCCUUGUCGGGUAAGUUCCGACCUGCACGAAUGGCGUAAUGAUGGCCAGGCUGUCUCCACCCGAGACUCAGUGAAAUUGAACUCGCUGUGAAGAUGCAGUGUACCCGCGGCAAGACGGAAAGACCCCGUGAACCUUUACUAUAGCUUGACACUGAACAUUGAGCCUUGAUGUGUAGGAUAGGUGGGAGGCUUUGAAGUGUGGACGCCAGUCUGCAUGGAGCCGGCCUUGAAAUACCACCCUUUAAUGUUUGAUGUUCUAACGUGGACCCGUGAUCCGGGUUGCGGACAGUGUCUGGUGGGUAGUUUGACUGGGGCGGUCUCCUCCUAAAGAGUAACGGAGGAGCACGAAGGUUGGCUAAUCCUGGUCGGACAUCAGGAGGUUAGUGCAAUGGCAUAAGCCAGCUUGACUGCGAGCGUGACGGCGCGAGCAGGUGCGAAAGCAGGUCAUAGUGAUCCGGUGGUUCUGAAUGGAAGGGCCAUCGCUCAACGGAUAAAAGGUACUCCGGGGAUAACAGGCUGAUACCGCCCAAGAGUUCAUAUCGACGGCGGUGUUUGGCACCUCGAUGUCGGCUCAUCACAUCCUGGGGCUGAAGUAGGUCCCAAGGGUAUGGCUGUUCGCCAUUUAAAGUGGUACGCGAGCUGGGUUUAGAACGUCGUGAGACAGUUCGGUCCCUAUCUGCCGUGGGCGCUGGAGAACUGAGGGGGGCUGCUCCUAGUACGAGAGGACCGGAGUGGACGCAUCACUGGUGUUCGGGUUGUCAUGCCAAUGGCACUGCCCGGUAGCUAAAUGCGGAAGAGAUAAGUGCUGAAAGCAUCUAAGCACGAAACUUGCCCCGAGAUGAGUUCUCCCUGAGACUUUAGGUCUCCUGAAGGAACGUUGAAGACGACGACGUUGAUAGGCCGGGUGUGUAAGCGCAGCGAUGCGUUGAGCUAACCGGUACUAAUGAACCGUGAGGCUUAACCUUACAACGCCGAAG
rnacentral:rRNA from 1 species